GACGAACGCUGGCGGCGUGCUUAACACAUGCAAGUGGAGCGACGAACCGGGGCUUGCCCCGGGGCAGAGCCGCGAACGGGUGAGUAACACGUGGGUAACCUGCCUCAAUGAUUGGGACAACCCCGGGGAAACUCGGGCUAAUACCAAAUGUGUUCACUCCUUCUAAGGGGAGUGAGGAAAGGAAGCUUCGGCCUCCGCAAUUGAGAUGGGCCCGCGGCCCAUUAGCUUGUUGGUGAGGUAACGGCUCACCAAGGCUUCGAUGGGUAGCUGGUCUGAGAGGACGAUCAGCCACACUGGGACUGAGACACGGCCCAGACUCCUACGGGAGGCAGCAGUGGGGAA
rnacentral:rRNA from 1 species